GGAGAAGUGCGAGAGCGGCUGAAUCGGCCUGACUCGAAAUCAGGUAAGGGGGCAACCUCUUCGAGGGUUCGAAUCCCUCCUUCUCCGCCA
rnacentral:tRNA from 9 species